UCCAGCCUCCGGAACAGUGCAGGCAUAACAUCCUGGCCCUUCGGUCUCCAGCCCCUGCGUCCUUGGGCAUUUUGUGCUUGUCUCUCUGGUUGAGAUGGUUCACUUCAAGAUGGAGCAGCAAUGACACCUUUUCCCCUUUGCUUGUUGUUAAUGGUGGGUAGAGAAGGAGAGGACCAAGAUGUGCAGGAACACCUGUAAGCGACACGAGUCAGUUACUUACUCAUCCGGGGUGCUGCCCCCCUUCUUCCCGGAGUCCCUUCCCCUCCUAUCACCUCCUGAAUCCUUCUCGCACUUGGCCAUCACAACGCCACUUGUGUGGCACCUCCUCAAGUCUCCUAAAUCUCCAUUGCAUCAUUUUCCUAUAUGACGUUUUAUUUCAGUGGGUUUUCCCAAGUAGGUUGUGAGUCUCUGGAGGACAGGGAACCACACUCACCCAGUGAGCACCAAGGAGCUACCUCUUGAGUAAGUGUUGCAAUAAAUGAGUGAAUGAGCAAAUGGAAUUCCCCGAGCUGAGUUAGGCCAGGAACACCCCGUCUUUUUGCAGGCACUUCCAGUCUUACACACCUAAGACCAUAUCCAUGAAACUCUGUGGUGGGUCCCUAAGCGAAGCGCAGGAGGCAGGCACAGGACAGCAGCGGCAGCUUGGAGAAGGUCAGCUCUGCGUGGGUCUCCUAGUCUUGUGAGUGGAGAAUUGAGUCGGUGUUUUCACAGGCUUGGCUCUUGAGACCCUUGAUCCGAGGUGCCAAGCAGAGGUCACAGGGUCAUAGCCAAACAGGUCAGGCCAGGCUAACCGCUGUGGCUCUCAGUACAGAGGGAUAAGGCUGAGGGGAGGUUCUACUCACCCAGAAAUCUUUGAUGCCCAAAGUCCACAGGCUGCAUUAAGGGAUGUGGUUGUCAGGCAACCCCAGCAACCAAGAGCAUGGUGGUCCUCACGUCUGGACAGUGGGGCUCAUUUAUUUCUCACCCAUGUGUCUAGUGUUUGUGAACGACCUGUGACAUGGCACCAAGCAUUCUGCAUUUACUGAGCACCUAAAACUGUUGGGGUAGGAUAUGUCAGUUGGCCUCGGUACCUCUGUGUAUUCCACCCCAACCCCAGCACCUCCUGUGCAGCCUCCCCGGGGUCAGUGAGAAGCACACAUACCAUGGCCAGUGAAGCCUGUUCUCAGGACACUCGGGUCAUGGAGCAGAACCAGGACAAAACAUAGCAUGGAGCAGUUAUUUUAGUGCAAUAAACAGUUUAUUGGAGGGAAUGGAUUCUCAGACAGAACUGAUGGUGUUUGUUCUCCAGAAGAGGGCGGUGGAUUUGCUGCCCUCGGGCAAUAGAGCCGCUCUCUGUGCACGUGUGGUUUUCCUCAUGGUUGAGGUGUUGGGACCAUUUUUCUCCCACCUCUUCCCCAAGCCAGAACCCUGCUCUGUGGAAACAUGGCUGUUGUUUCACAAUAUUACUAUUAUUAAAGUAAUCUUUACACUAUUAGAAUUAUUUUUAUUAGCAAGAAUACUAUCUUCUGGAAUAUCCAUCCAAUGAAAAAAUGCACAAUUACAGACUUUUCGUUCCAGGACUGACAGGUGAGGAAAACAGAUGUGGGCUGUUUCUGGAAGCCUCUCUGCCACUGAUUCUGUGUGUCACGUGUCAGGUCAUCUAAUCUCUUACAUGCACACUUUUCCUAAUCUUUGAACAGGUUGAAGUUGAACAUCUCUAAAUUGUGUGAUUUUAGCUAUGUGUAGUUCUGGCUUCUUUUUUUUAUUUGGCAAGCUAAAUAUUUGUAAACAGUACCGCAAAUAAUACCAAAGUAAAUUUUUCAAAAUUGGAGAAACUGGAAUCCUUAGAGGUAAUGUUCCUGGUUUUGAAUUUAUAAACUACCUGCUGAUAAAACUCUCUUAAGUAACUUGUUUCUAAACAUUUGUGUUCUUAUUUCCUUCAUUUUCAAAACACUGUCUCUGUGAUUGCAAAGUGAUUUCCCUGAAAUGUAAUCUCCUGUUCUGUGUAGCCUGCUGGGAGUAUGCAGGACCCACGUGAAGUUAAGCAUGCACACAUCUUGAAGGUGAGGAGUACAGUGAAUGGCACUCUGUGGCCCCACACCCUCGUCUUGAGGCCUCAGUGAUGCCGUGAGUAUUCAGAGCAGUGCCCCGUGCGGGAGCUGCUGGAUUCCGGCUAGAAACCGGAGCUCGGGUACAUGUAUCCGGGGAGAGCCGAGGGAGUCACGGUUCUCAGAGGCGCACAGGGGAUGCCACUGCAGCAAGGAACUGGGCCUUGCGGCUUUCCUGCUGAAAAGGGGAGCAAUUUGUUAAGUUUCAGCACAGUAGACAAAGGAAACUGGUGAAUUUACUGGAUAUAUUUUAGAAAUUUGAAAGUUGAUGAUGAAACGAGAAAGAGACCCCAGUUACAGGAAGAGUCCUGGCACGAAAGGUUGAAAGCUUGUAGUGACAUCGAUCUUUGGCCUGCUGGCCUCCCCCCAGGAACAGGGCCAUCCGGGCAAACACAUCCCGGGCGGUUUGCGUCUGUAGUAGCUGAAUCCCCUCCGUGACUUCAGUUUUCUGGGGCUCAUCAGAAAGCAGCUGUUCUGGGUAGUUCCCUCUAGUUCCAACUUGUUUAAAACUUGAAAGUGGAAAUACUUAAACUGAUACGCUACAGGCAGUUACAUAGACAUUUCUUAUAAAAAUAACAUCUGAUAAUUUUGGAAGAAGUCGAAAAACGCAGAAGGAACUCACAGUUGGUAAUCCCACACUAUCUGGGUGUAAUUUCCAUUAACCUUUGGCUGUAUUUCUUUCUAGCCUUUUUAAAAAAUCCAUUUUAAACAGCACACACAGUUGUGCACCCAUUUUGAAAAUCACAUGUGCCAAGCGUUAUCUGGCCAUUUUUGAUCUAGAGCAGCCGUCAGGGACAGCCGAGGGCAUGCAGAUCGAUGUCACAAAGCGUCUUCCCUCCGCCUUCCUUCCCCUCAGCGCAGUGGCUGGUGGGUGCGCAGGCAGCGGGGGGCUCCUGGGCACCUUCCCUCACCGCCCCCUGGGGAUGUCUCGCGUAUUCUGGGGGCUUUGGCGGGUUCUGCCCUCGCGUAUGUGUAAUUGCCGAAAUCCUUCCUCCCCGUACCAUCCCAGCUAUAAAAACCUAGGCGGCUAGGCUUUCGCUUUUCUAAAUUACAGCAAAGUUGGUGAUGAAAAAUGAAAAUAUAAAUGUAGGGUUUUGUUGUCUAAAUUCCUUUUAAAAGAAAAGUUACUUGCUGUUAGGUCAUUUUACUUGACAGAUUCUUGGGAAAGGUAGUGGGAAAAUGCUUGGAGAAUCCUUGCAGUUAAUAUUACUGGGUCAGCUGGGGUCAGUGAUGCAGGUGUGGUUUUGGAAGGUUUUUGAUAUUAGGGGAUGGCUUCCAGGAGGCGGCCUAGUACAGAGGGACCGGCGGGAGUCUUGGGGUCAGACAGACCUGGAGGUGAACGCUUGCGUCCCGUGGCCCCUUCGGGAUUCUGGCCACACUGUCCAACGAUCAGGAGUAUCAGUCUCCUCAGCUCUGGAACCGCUGGUGACGGUGCCUGCUCCCCAGAUGUUUAGGGAGCUUAAAUGAAAAUCCAUGUGGAGUUCCCAGCACACAGUAGGUGCUGACUGUGAGCUUGUUCCUUCGGUUUUCCUCAGAGGUUUCUGGGAUGUGUGCAGACGGAACACAGUUCAUCUGUGAGGCAGUGACUGAUGGUAAUGGUAUGCUAAUAUUUACCCAAGUAAACAUCUUGCACAAAACUAUUGGUAUAAUGUUUAUCAGUGAAAAAAGUUCUCAUCCUAUAUUAUGACUUGAGUUUUGCUUCCCUUUAUCUCUCAAAUUUUUAAUUUCUAAAUUAAAAGCCCCAUAUUCAGUUGAAUCAUCAAACAUAUUCUCUGUGCUAGUCUUAAAGGAAAGUCGGAAAAAAAAAACCUAUAAAUCUCACGGUCUUGGUGGGUUGAAACCCUGUAAGCAAACCCUGUAGUUGAACAGAAGCUGUUCGCCACAAAGCCCAGACCCACGUCUGUGGAGGGAGAAGACGCAGACCAGACCCAGCCCGUGGGAGCCCUUCCGCUGGCCUGGCGGGGAGCUGGGGGAAGGACGUCACAGGAGAGGCAGUAACACGCAUCUUUCGAAAUAGAUCCCUUCAAAUUUGAAAAAGAGUACAUGGGUUGUAAAUAAUCGGAAAUGAGUAAAAGAAGUGGGAGUGAUCACCACACUGGGGAGAAGUUAGUAGGCCUGGAAGUCUGGGAUUAAGAGGCUCAGUGAGUGACAGGCAUGGUGGGGGUUCAGAAAAAGGGUUUCCUUGCAAAUGCAGAAUGGGGGAGUAGUGGAUGUUGAAUGAGAUGAAUUCCUUCUCAAAUGUAAUUCCAGGGGAGGAAAAGCCAGGCUUCUGGUGAGAACUAGAGAUCACUAGAAUUCUACCACUCAAGUAAAAAAAAGAGGUAAAGGAUAUUUACAUUUUUGAUUUUUUAAACACCCAGCUGCUUGCAUGAUUCCGCAUUACUAAGUUACUAGUUAGUAAGAUUUGAAUGAAAGGGCUCUCUGAAGAAGACUCCUGUCUCUAAUAGAAGUUUGGUCUCAGAACCCCUUUACAUUUAAAGUUUUUGAAGACUCCAAAAAGCUCUUGUUCAGGUGCAUUGUAUCUAUCAAUGUUUAUUGUGUUAUUAAUAAGUGAGAAUUUAUCAAAUACAAUUGGGUAUUUUUGAAGUACGUGAAUAUGCCAGCACAUUC